UCCUGGUUAGCUCAGUUGGUGGAGCGCUCCACAUGUAAUGGAGAGGUCCCGGGUUCGAUACCCGGACCAGGCG
rfam:Ixodes scapularis strain Wikel colony gcontig_1107729012102, whole genome shotgun sequence.